UUUCCGUAGGUGAACCUGCGGAAGGAUCAUUACAGAGUUCAUGCCCUCACGGGUAGAUCUCCCACCCUUGAAUAUUUAUACCUUAGUUGCUUUGGCAGGCCGUGGAAACACCAUGGGCUCCGGCGUAUGCGUGCCUGCCAGAGGAAACAAACUCUGUUUUUAGUGAUGCCUGAGUACUAUAUAAUAGUUAAAACUUUCAACAACGGAUCUCUUGGUUCUG
rnacentral:misc_RNA from 1 species